ACCACGGCGAGGCCGGAUUCCUGUUUUAUCAUGAAUAUUCAUUAGGCAGGGUCGGGGAAAGUCUCGAUUCUCUUAAAUAUUCAUAUCGAGGUGGGAAUGCACGACGCGCGCUAUACUCGCACAAAGUGAGAAGAUUUAGUUCACGGAGAAUGCAUAUGGAUUGAAACUGAAGAGCUGGAAGGAGGACAUUACAACAUCUCUUAUAUUUGCAAGAUGAAGCAGAAAGUCCCAUGCAUGAUGAUGCCUCUCUACAGUGGAUGAUGAAGGC